UCUCUCUCCUCUCACGCAGAACCAGAUCUCUCUCUCUCCUCUGUUCAGGCCAGCCGCGACAUCACGUGUUUCGACAGUGAUUCCGGCCACGUCCGGCCGUCCCCGGCCACAAUUUUGGAUCCAUUCUCUUCGUCUCUCUCUCUUCUACACAUCUAUACCAAUUUUCAGCCCCAAAUCUAAGGAAAUUAAAGCCAAAAUUCGAGCCAAAGUGAGCCCAAACCGACUGUGCAAAAAUAGCGGCUAUUCGUGGUCUUUUUCGGCCAAUUCCGGCCGUCACAGCUCAGGUUUUCAAGAGACAGAAACCUUCGUUCGCGAGCUUUAAAGGUGGAAUUGAUCGUCGAGCCAAGGUACUCGGGUUUCUUCGAACCCGCAGAAAGGACCCUCAAAGGGUCAAGCUAGCUCGGACACUCAGCAGUAGACGUGAACCAGAGCACCACAACCGAGCGAUCAUCAUCACUUUUCAUCCUUUUCCGCCUUGUAGGAUAUUCUGCUGCAUUCUUUCUACCCUUGUGAUUUAAUAGAUUAGUAUUGCUCUGAAAUUGCCCUAGGAUUGCUGUAAGGCCUAAGGCCAUAAAGUUCUGUUGUUGGAUUGCUUGAAUUCAAACUUGAUGAAUGCUGAAUGAUUGGAUUAUAAA